GGUAAACAACAGUGUGGACUCUCUGAUGGCUAACAAGGACUGUGCCUGUGCUGCAGCUUCCAUCAGACCUGGAAAGGUUCCUCACAGCAACUCUUUUGACAAAGUCAGCAGGAGCCUAAUUCCUCAAAUCUUCCUGUCAGACAAGGUGAAGAAGAUGAGGUGCCAUAUUAGGAAGACAACAAGUCAUAAAGGAUCCUCUCUUUGUCUUCCUCACCACCUGUUUAUCCCUCUAAACUGUACACUUGACCUGCAAGAAGAACAUCUAGGGGCUUGGGAAAGAUACCUGCAGAGUGACAUUAUUCAUUAUGCAGUAUUUCAUUUUUGUGUGUUUUUCACAAUGGAUACGUGGCAUAGCACAGCUCCUACCCUGCUGAUCCGAAGAACUGCAGGCUGCAAUGCACCCUGAGGGCUUCUUGCUACUUGCAAUAACACCAUUAUUCACCUUC